rnacentral:lncRNA from 1 species
GAGUCUGCGUCUGAGUGGAAACUUGUUCAUGCCUUUUCCUGUCUUAGCACAGAUAUUCAGAAUACACUUACCCUUAAUACAAUCAUGAUUUUUCUGGCUUUUUGCGGAUCUCCCUCCAUUUGUAGCUUGCUGCCUGCAUCUUGCCCUCAGCCAAGUGAGUGAAUCCAGUGAACCAAGGAAGCAAUGCUCUGACUUGAGCAAUGAAGCCAAAGCAGACACUUGAGCUGAGCGUGGAAGCCCUGGCAAACACAGGCUCUCCUCUCUGCUUGGGAACAGCUAGAUCUUCAACACUGGGGCAAAGACGUUGAGUCUGUGAACAAAGCCAGCCAGAGCCGGAUCUGCUCCCAGGCAGAAGCCUAAGUUGAUGGGCACAGCCCACCCUGGCCAUCCUUUUCCUCCCUUGUUUAUCAGC